CGGUGUCUCAGUGUCUGAGGUCUGUGAGGUGAAACUCGUAGCCUCGCUUUGCCUAACUUCACGCUGAAGUAACCCAAGUUUUAUUUUCAAACCAGCCACGUCUCAUGAAGUUUAUAAAUCUCUGAACUCUAAAGAAAAGUUCCCUGAGAAUACUACACGAUGCCGGUUUCCACUGUUAGGAACGCGGUGACAGAGAGAGAGGAAGGGAGAGGAAGCCCAAAACCCAGACAUGUGCCCUGACCUGGAAUUGAACCAGCAACCUUUUGAUGCACAGGAUGAAGCCCAACCAACUGAGCCACACCGGCCAGGACUGUACUGGGACAUCUAGUUCAAGGCAGUAAAAUUUCUUUUCUAUUGCCUUGUAAAAAAUAAUCAUUCAGGGAAUAUUUCCUGCUGCUGCUGAAGUUCAUCACUUUUCAAAGUAAAAUUUCUGUAAAACGUAAACAAUUAGAAUUCCUUCACCAACGACUAUGUUAGCACUGUGAUUCCUAUUAAAGUAAAGCCAAGUUGGGUGUAUAAA